CAGAACCUAGAAGAACUUGAUCCGGAUUUGUAUGAUAUUAAAGAUUAUUAUGAGUUGGAAAAAACGGGGGCUAAAUAUUCACAAAAAUUUUCAGUGUCGUUUGAAACCUAUAAAUGUGUGAUACACGGUCUGGAUAAUUUGUCAUUUAAAUACGCGAUUAAAACCAUAACUCUUUUAUUGAAAGACAUUCUGGACACCGUGCUUUCGGCAAUUCCAGCCCACAAUUUGGUUAGAAUUCGCUUGUAUCAAAACGCACUGCAAUACCCAAUUUGGAUGCCACCUAUCCAACGUGAUCAGCUGAGUGUUGAAAGAUGGAUGACAACGAUCCGGAGAAUCUUGAAUUCAAAUCAGGCGUUUUUAUUGGAUGAAUCUUUUGAAUUGUCUGUGCAGCAUACGGAUAUUCCAACUGGGUCGUGCAGAAAAAACGUUUCAAAGCUGUUACGGCAAAUACUGGACAAGAAACGAUGCAUUACACAAAUCCGCAACACGGACUGCUUGUGUAUGGCGCGAGCUAUUGUGGUCGCUAAGGCGCAUGCAGAUGGCGAUAAAACAAUGUAUACAAAGCUUUACCGAACGAAGAAGUUGCAGACCGAAAAGACCAAGGAGUUGCUGCAGGCUGCGGAAUUGCCAGAUAGAGAAUUCAGUGUGGAGGAUAUUCCUCGAUUUGAAAUCGUUUUACCAAAUUAUCAAUUUAUUGUAGUCUCGGUGGACCAUGGAAACUCAAUUGUGUACUGCGGCGCGUACUGUGAAAAACGGAUCAUGCUGCUGCAUCAUGAUCAUCAUUUUGACGUGCUAACAUCCCUGCCCGCGUAUUUUGAACAACAGUAUUAUUGCUACCGCUGUAUGAAGGGCUACAACAAAAGGCAGAACCACAGAUGUGAGUUCAAGUGUCAUCAGUGUUUAUCUGUAACCUGCCCUAUGGACAAGCUUCAGAACAUCCACUGUCCUGACUGUAAUCGCGAUUUCCAUGGGCAAGAGUGCUUUUACACGCAUAAGUCCGGAAGCAGUCCAAUCUGCGCAAAGUUCUUUAUUUGUGAAUUAUGUAAGUCGUUUGUUUCCAUGGUGAAUCGUCGAAUGAAGACCAAUUACGACUUGCCACAAAAUUAUCCGCUUUACGAUGACGGCGACAAGGAUAGCGACAAUGAAAACGAUGAUAUUGAACUGGAUAUAGAUGACCAACAACAUCGGUGUGGUGAAGUCUUUUGCCCAACGUGCUCAUUGUUCUUCAUGCCCGAAGAUAAUCAUGUCUGCUACAUGCAACCCAUUGAGCUCACAGACAAAGAAAAGGCUAAACACCUAAACGAUAAGCUAGCGUACUUUGAUCUUGAAACGUUUCAAGAUGAGGCAGGUGAUUUCAAAGUGAAUUUAGCGGUCAUAGCAACAAAAGACGAGAAAUUUGUCCUUCCGGAAGAUGGAAAUAUUAGCGGUGAUAUUUCAAGUGCUUUGGGGGAAUUCAUCUUUAGCGAACGCUUUCGUGGGUACACCUUUAUUGCACACAACUUGAAGGGAUUUGACGGGUAUUUUCUGCUAAACUAUCUAAUUAAGAACGGAAUCAUUCCACACCCAUUGAUCUUUAACGGGAGCAAGGUUGUGCAGAUGGAUAUUUCAAAACUUAAAAUAAAAUUCCGUGACUCUAUGAAUUAUGUGCCGUCAUCGCUCAAAAAUUUUGCCAAAGCAUUCGGUUUGCAAGAAACCAAAGGAGACUUUCCUCACAAACUUAAUCAGCCAGAAAAUUGGAACAAAAUUCUUCCAUGGCCAGAUCGACACGAUUACGGUUACCAGCUCAUGAAAAGAAAGAGCGUAAACGUUUUAUAAAGUGGUUCCGUAAAGAGCGACGCCGUCACAACAAUCAAUUUGACUUUAAUGCUCACUUUAUUGGGUAGGUAAAAUAUGUCAUUUACUCUGGCCGCCGUAUUUAUUUAGCUCUGUUAUAGAUAUUGCUCGCAAGAUGUUCUUGUUCUCCAACAAGCAUGUGAGAAGUUUCGAACGCUCUUCCAACAAGUGACGAAUGGAUUGUGUCCAUUUGCUUCAGGCCUUACCACCCCUGGAAUGUGUAAUUAUUUUUGGAGAGCGCGGAUGUUAAAGAAAAACCAAAUUGCGCUGAUUGGUCCCCCUGGACAAGGUAAAAAAUCUUCUGCCAAAGGAGAUCGUUGGCUCCGAUGGAUUGAAAUGGACAACGAUAUACAACUCCAGCGCGAGGUUCGAAUCGGCCCUUGGACAGUAGAUGGUUUUGACCCAAGGAAUAAAACCGUUUAUGAGUUUCUAGGGUGUAUGUGGCACGGUUGCAGCGACUGCACGACAAAAAGUACACUGCAUCCAUUUCUUAAUCGCCCCAUGGAAGAAAUCAACAAAGCAACUGACUCACGCCUUGACGCAAUAAAAGCUAUGGGUUACGCUCUUGUUUCAAUCUGGGAGCACGAAUACGAUGCGCGCCUAGCAGCAGACAUGGAAUUCAAACAAUACCCCUACAUCAAUAAAAAUCUGCCUUAUCCAGUGGGAGCUCCUGUCAUCAUCACAAAGGACUUCCCGCCUGUGGAAAGCAUAUUCGGAGUGAUGAAAUGCCGUAUCAUUCCACCACCGUCAUUAUUUCUCCCUGUACUGCCGUACAGAACCGACAAGCUUACAUUUCCGUUAUGUGCCAAAUGCGUACAGGAGCGCGUGAACACACCGUGCUGCCAUGAAGAUGAUGACAGGGCUUUGGAAGGAACGUGGUGUACACCAGAAAUUCACCGCGCGAUAGAAGCUGGCUACCGCAUUGAAAAGAUUUACUCUGUUUGGCAUUAUCCAGA